CCUACGGGGGGCAGCAGUGAGGAAUAUUGGUCAAUGGGCUUACGCCUGAACCAGCCAAGUCGCGUGAGGGAAGACUGCCCUAUGUGUUGUAAACCUCUUUUGUCAGGGAGCAACGCCGGCUACGUGUAGCCGGACUGAGAGUACCUGAAGAAAAAGCAUCGGCUAACUCCGUGCCAGCAGCCGCGGUAAUACGUAGGGGGCAAGCGUUAUCCGGAUUUACUGGGUGUAAGGGGGGCGCAGACGGCAGCGCAAGCCAGGAGUGAAAGCCCGGGGCCCAACCCCGGGACUGCUCUUGGGACUGCGCGGCUGGAGUGCAGGAGGGGCAGGCGGAAUUCCUGGUGUAGCGGUGAAAUGCGUAGAUAUCAGGAGGAACACCGGUGGCGAAGGCGGCCUGUUGGACUGCGACUGACGUUGAGGCCCGAAAGCGUGGGGAGCAAACAGGAUUAGAUACCCGUGUAGUC
rnacentral:rRNA from 1 species